rnacentral:rRNA from 1 species
UACGUAGGGAGCAAGCGUUGUCCGGAAUCAUUGGGCGUAAAGCGCGCGUAGGCGGCUUCAUAAGUCCGUUGUGAAAGUCAAAGGCUCAACCUUUGAAAGCCGAUGGAUACUGUGGAGCUAGAGUACGGAAGAGGCGAGUGGAAUUCCUGGUGUAGCGGUGGAAUGCGCAGAUAUCAGGAGGAACACCAAUAGCGAAGGCAGUUCGCUGGGACGUUACUGACACUGAGGCGCGAAAGCGUGGGGAGCGAACAGG